rnacentral:rRNA from 1 species
CGGAUAAAAGGUACUCCGGGGAUAACAGGCUGAUACCGCCCAAGAGUUCACAUCGACGGCGGUGUUUGGCACCUCGAUGUCGGCUCAUCACAUCCUGGGGCUGGAGCAGGUCCCAAGGGUUUGGCUGUUCGCCAAUUAAAGAGGUACGUGAGCUGGGUUUAGAACGUCGUGAGACAGUUCGGUCCCUAUCUGCCGUGGGUGUAGGAAUAUUGAUAGGAUCUGUCCCUAGUACGAGAGGACCGGGAUGGACGUAUCUCUGGUGGACCUGUUGUCGUGCCAACGGCAUAGCAGGGUAGCUAUAUACGGAAUGGAUAACCGCUGAAGGCA